UCCGUCUUGCGACGGCAGUUCCGCUAGAGUGAUACAACUAGCAGUAGGGGUUGCGCUCGUUAACCCACUUAAGGGUACGCCUCACGGUACGAGCUGACAACAGCCAUGCAACACCUGUGCAGCACUCUCGAAGAAGCUCUACUUUCGUAGAGUUAGCAGCUGCAUGUCAAACCUGGGUAAGGUUCUUGGGUUAGCAGCCAAUUGAAGAGCAUGCUCCACCGCUUGUGCGGGUCCCCGCCAAUUCCUUUGAGUUUUAGCCUUGCGGCCGUACUUCCCAGGCGGCCUGCUUAACGCGUUAGCUUCGACACCCAACAAAAGCCAGGUAUCCAGCAGGCAUAGUUUACAGCGUGGACUA
rnacentral:misc_RNA from 1 species